rnacentral:rRNA from 1 species
GAUGAACGCUGGCGGCGUGCCUAAUACAUGCAAGUCGAGCGAACAGAUGAGAAGCUUGCUUCUCUGAUGUUAGCGGCGGACGGGUGAGUAACACGUGGGUAACCUACCUAUAAGACUGGGAUAACUCCGGGAAACCGGGGCUAAUACCGGAUAAUAUUUUGAACCGCAUGGUUCGAUAGUGAAAGACGGUUUUGGCUGUCACUUAUAGAUGGACCCGCGCCGUAUUAGCUAGUUGGUAAGGUAACGGCUUACCAAGGCGACGAUACGUAGCCGACCUGAGAGGGUGAUCGGCCACACUGGAACUGAGACACGGUCCAGACUCCUACGGGAGGCAGCAGUAGGGAAUCUUCCGCAAUGGGCGAAAGCCUGACGGAGCAACGCCGCGUGAGUGAUGAAGGUCUUCGGAUCGUAAAACUCUGUUGUUAGGGAAGAACAAAUUUGUUAGUAACUGAACAAGUCUUGACGGUACCUAACCAGAAAGCCACGGCUAACUACGUGCCAGCCGCCGCGGUAA